rnacentral:rRNA from 1 species
GAUGAACGCUGGCGGCGUGCCUAAUACAUGCAAGUCGAGCGAACAGACGAGGAGCUUGCUCCUUUGACGUUAGCGGCGGACGGGUGAGUAACACGUGGGUAACCUACCUAUAAGACUGGGAUAACUUCGGGAAACCGGAGCUAAUACCGGAUAAUAUUUCGAACCGCAUGGUUCGAUAGUGAAAGAUGGCUUUGCUAUCACUUAUAGAUGGACCUGCGCCGUAUUAGCUAGUUGGUAAGGUAACGGCUUACCAAGGCAACGAUACGUAUCCGACCUGAGAGGGUGAUCGGCCACACUGGAACUGAGACACGGUCCAGACUCCUACGGGAGGCAGCAGUAGGGAAUCUUCCGCAAUGGGCGAAAGCCUGACGGAGCAACGCCGCGUGAGUGAUGAAGGUCUUCGGAUCGUAAAACUCUGUUAUUAGGGAAGAACAAACGUGUAAGUAACUGUGCACGUCUUGACGGUACCUAAUCAGAAAGCCACGGCUAACUACGUG